UACGAAGGGGGCUAGCGUUGCUCGGAAUCACUGGGCGUAAAGGGUGCGUAGGCGGGUCUUUUAAGUCAGGGGUGAAAUCCUGGAGCUCAACUCCAGAACUGCCUUUGAUACUGAGGAUCUUGAGUUCGGGGAGAGGUGAGUGGAACUGCGAGUGUAGAGGUGAAAAUUCGUAGAUAUUCGCAAGAACACCAGUGGCGAAGGCGGCUCACUGGCCCCGAUACUGACGCUGAGGGCA
rnacentral:rRNA from 1 species